rnacentral:misc_RNA from 1 species
GAUGAAGAACGUAGCGAAAUGCGAUAAGUAAUGUGAAUUGCAGAAUUCAGUGAAUCAUCGAAUCUUUGAACGCACCUUGCGCUCCUUGGUAUUCCGAGGAGCAUGCCUGUUUGAGUGUCAUGAAAUUCUCAACCUUUCUGGCUUUUGCUAGUCAGGCUUGGAUUAUGGGAGCUGCUGGCUUUUGAAGUCGGCUCUUCUAAAAUGUAUUAGCAAGAUCAUUGCUGCUCAUCAUUGGUAUGAUAAUUAUCUAUAUCAUUGAGAGUCAGUUUCCUUUAUUGGAAGAUUUUGCUCAUAACGGUCUUUAGCAAGACAACAUUUGACGAUUUUGACCUCAAAUCAGGUAGGACUACCCGCUGAACUUAAGCAUAUCAAUAAGCGGAGGA